rnacentral:misc_RNA from 1 species
GGAGGUUGCUGCUUUAGGUCGGGUAUUGUGGGGAAUGCCUGUCGGCAUGGGCUAGGUUGCAGCUCUCUUCAUCUUCUCUAUCUCUCUUUUUUUCUAAUGAAAUUUCUUGCUCAUAAAAAAAUUAAGAAAAUCUAAUCCUUUGAUGGCUGUAGUAGAUGCCAUUUGUGUUGAUGCAAGUCAAUUACCAAUUAAUUUGGUUUUGUCUAUGUGCCUGUUUCAUUGAGCUGUUGAGGUGCUGGUGUAUGUCAAUUACCAAUUUAAUAUGUUUGGUGGUUUCUACAACUAAUAUUGGAUUCCUAAACCAACACCUAAUUACAAUGGCUAAACCAAACUCGUUCCUAAAUUUUGCAGCUGUAUAUCACAAUGCAUCCAAAGCUGAAGAGUGUGGGAAUCCUUGAGACAAUGUAUGGGAUCGACCUUCAUCAUUAUGAGCGGUGCUUUUCAUAACAGCUGUGCUUUUCAUAACAUACCAGAAAGUCCCUUCCUGAAUAAUUUCUGUAAUUGCCUCCCUGUCAUCAGUUUUAAUGAACCUUCCUCAGUCACCCUAAUAAGGUCAAUUUGCUUCCCUUCCUUUUGAAAUGAAACUUUUAGGUUUUGAAAAUUGAAAGUGAUUGGACUAUAAGACCUCAUCCAAUCCACUCCAAGUAACCACCCAAAUCCAACAAUCUUAUGUUGAAAAAGAAGGAAUGACCCUGCAUAUUCCACUAAAACCCAACACACUUGAAUCUACUAACCAUCUUGUGACCAUUUGCUACUGUCACAGAAAGUGGAGGGGCUUUUACCAUCCUACAUCCCAACUCUUUAGCAAUUUUAUAAUCCAGGAAACUAUGUGUGCUUCCACUGUCAAUUAAUAUGACAAUUGACUGCUUGUCUAUCUUCCCUCUAAUCUUCAAUGUAUUUGGAGAAAUACUGCCAUCUAAGGCAUGCAUGGAGAUCUCAACCUCCUCUCCCUCACCUUCAUAGUCCUCCUCUCCCCCCAUAUUCCCCACUUCUUCCAAUCCCUCUUCAUCAGCCUGCAAUGCUAAUAUUUGUUGAGUCAUACAUUGAUGACCAGGGUAAUACCUGUCUCCACAUUUAAAACAACUAUUAUUACCCUUUUUCAAGUCAGAGUUAAUAAACUUUGAGGUUGGUUUCUCCAAUUCAGCAACAGAGAUUGGUUUAGAGAAAGAAGAACUUGGGUUUGCAGUAGAGAAAUUAGGUUUAGAUGUGGGAUUGGCAUUUCUAAACUGAGCAUUUCUUGUGUUGUAGGAAUUGAAGUAUGGCCUAAUAUAUGGCUUUUGUUUUCUCAAAAUAGCCUCAAUGGAUUGCUCUUGCAAUUUUGCUUGUUCAAAGGCUUGCAACAAUGAUUCAGGUCUAAACAUUUUAAUUACAGGUCUCAAUUCCUCACUCAACCCACUGAUGAAACUAGAGAUAAAAUAAGGUUCGGAUAGACCUGGAUUAUACUUCAACAUUAAAGCCUUAAGCUCCUCAAACUUCUCCUGAUAAUCCAAUACUGAACCUUCUUGAUUUAACUUGUUAAACUCCUCAACUACAUCAGUUACAGUCAACUCCCCAAAUCUCUUGCAUAACUCUUCUGCAAAUUCACUCCAAGAUGCAGUUGGUCUACUGACUUGCUAACCUUGGAACCAAAUGUCAGCUUUUUCCCCCAAAAAUAAAGAAGCUACUUCCACUUUUUGUUCCUCACUCACAUCAUAAACUUGGAAAUAUUUCUGGCAUUUUCUUACCUAUCCUCUCGGAUUACUACCAUAAAAUUGGGGAACAUCUACCUUCAAUUUCAUCGCAGAAUUCCUCAAAUUACAAGAACUCUUAUGCCCCUGAGAACUAUUACCAGAAUCCCCAUUUUCUUUCCCCUUCGGCAGCGGCAAAAUACCCCUUCCUUCAUUACUAUUUGCUCCAAUUUCAAUAGGAUUGACCCUAGUUCCAUUCACAUUAGAUUGAGUUUCAGGGACCACAGGCUCCUUACCUUUCCCUUGCGACGGCUUCAUCAAUUCCAUCAUUUGACUCAUCAUCUCCUCCAUUCUAUGGCUCAUCAUUUCUUCCAUUCUAUGCAGCCCUGCACUCAAAUCUUGGAUUUUCUGAUUCUGUGAUUGCAUUUGCUCCUCUAGAUUCUGCAAUUUAGGUUUUUUCGAUCGCCAUAUUCUGCAUAGCCUUCCUCGCCAGCUUUAUCAACUCAGCUAUAGUGGAAUCUUGAGAGACCUCAGAAUCUUGAUGCUUUGAUACCAAAAU